GCUUGCUGGAUGCUGACGAGCGGCGGACGGGUGAGUAAUGCAUAGGAAUCUGCCCGAUAGUGGGGGAUAACCUGGGGAAACCCAGGCUAAUACCGCAUACGUCCUACGGGAGAAAGGGGGCUCCGGCUCCCGCUAUGGGAUGAGCCUAUGCCGGAUUAGCUAGUUGGUGAGGUAACGGCUCACCAAGGCCACGAUCCGUAGCUGGUCUGAGAGGAUGAUCAGCCACAUCGGGACUGAGACACGGCCCGAACUCCUACGGGAGGCAGCAGUGGGGAAUAUUGGACAAUGGGGGCAACCCUGAUCCAGCCAUGCCGCGUGUGUGAAGAAGGCCCUCGGGUUGUAAAGCACUUUCAGCGAGGAAGAACGCCUAGCGGUUAAUACCCGCUAGGAAAGACAUCACUCGCAGAAGAAGCACCGGCUAACUCCGUGCCAGCAGCCGCGGUAAUACGGAGGGUGCAAGCGUUAAUCGGAAUUACUGGGCGUAAAGCGCGCGUAGGUGGCUUGAUAAGCCGGUUGUGAAAGCCCCGGGCUCAACCUGGGAACGGCAUCCGGAACUGUCAAGCUAGAGUGCAGGAGAGGAAGGUAGAAUUCCCGGUGUAGCGGUGAAAUGCGUAGAGAUCGGGAGGAAUACCAGUGGCGAAGGCGGCCUUCUGGACUGACACUGACACUGAGGUGCGAAAGCGUGGGUAGCAAACAGGAUUAGAUACCCUGGUAGUCCACGCCGUAAACGAUGUCGACCAGCCGUUGGGUGCCUAGCGCACUUUGUGGCGAAGUUAACGCGAUAAGUCGACCGCCUGGGGAGUACGG
rnacentral:rRNA from 1 species